rnacentral:rRNA from 2 species
GAGCGAGGUUCUUUUGAACCUAGCGGCGAAUGGGUGAGUAACACGUGCUUAAUCUACCCUUUAGAUUGGAAUACCCAAUGGAAACAUUGGCUAAUGCCGGAUACGCAUGGAAUCGCAUGAUUCCGUUGUGAAAGGAGCCUUUAAAGCUCCGCUAGAGGAUGAGGGUGCGGAACAUUAGUUAGUUGGUAGGGUAAUGGCCUACCAAGACUAUGAUGUUUAGCCGGGUCGAGAGACUGAACGGCCACAUUGGGACUGAGAUACGGCCCAAACUCCUACGGGAGGCAGCAGUAGGGAAUAUUCCACAAUGAGCGAAAGCUUGAUGGAGCGACACAGCGUGCACGAUGAAGGUCUUCGGAUUGUAAAGUGCUGUUAUAGGGAAAGAACACCUGGUUGAGGAAAUGCUUCCAGGCUGACGGUACCCUGUCAGAAAGCGAUGGCUAACUAUGUGCCAGCAGCCGCGGUAAUACAUAGGUCGCAAGCGUUAUCCGGAAUUAUUGGGCGUAAAGCGUUCGUAGGCUGUUUAUUAAGUCUGGAGUCAAAUCCCAGGGCUCAACCCUGGCUCGCUUUGGAUACUGGUAAACUAGAGUUAGAUAGAGGUAAGCGGAAUUCCAUGUGAAGCGGUGAAAUGCGUAGAUAUAUGGAAGAACACCAAAGGCGAAGGCAGCUUACUGGGUCUAUACUGACGCUGAGGGACGAAAGCGUGGGGAGCAAACAGGAUUAGAUACCCUGGUAGUCCACGCCGUAAACGAUGAUCAUUAGUCGGUGGAGAGUUCACUGACGCAGCUAACGCAUUAAAUGAUCCGCCAGAAGUAUGCUCGCAAGAGUGAAAAACUUUAAAA